rnacentral:rRNA from 1 species
AGCUGUGGCCAUGCUGAACUGAAUGUACUUUAUCUUGUCCCAUCUUGGAAGCUAAGCAGCCCUAAGCCUAGCUAAUGCUCAGGUGAGACUCCACCUCGGAAGCUCAGGUGCUACAGAUA